rnacentral:rRNA from 1 species
CCUACGGGUGGCAGCAGUGGGGAAUAUUGCACAGUGGGGGGAACCCUGAUGCAGCAACGCCGCGUGAAGGAAGACGGUUUUCGGAUUGUAAACUUCUAUCAAUAGGGAAGAAAGAAAUGACGGUACCUAAAUAAGAAGCCCCGGCUAAAUACGUGCCAGCAGCCGCGGUAAUACGUAUGGGGCAAGCGUUAUCCGGAUUUACUGGGUGUAAAGGGAGCGUAGGCGGCCUGGCAAGCCUGAUGUGAAAUACCGGGGCCCAACCCCGGGGCUGCAUUGGGAACUGCCAGGCUGGAGUGCCGGAGAGGCAGGCGGAAUUCCUGGUGUAGCGGUGAAAUGCGUAGAUAUUAGGAGGAACACCAGUGGCGAAGGCGGCCUGCUGGACGGUGACUGACGCUGAGGCUCGAAAGCGUGGGGAGCAAACAGGAUUAGAUACCCGAGUAGUC